UGGGGAAUUUUGGACAAUGGGGGAAACCCUGAUCCAGCCAUCCCGCGUGUGCGAUGAAGGCCUUCGGGUUGUAAAGCACUUUUGGCAGGAAAGAAACGUCAUGGGUUAAUACCCCGUGAAACUGACGGUACCUGCAGAAUAAGCACCGGCUAACUACGUGCCAGCAGCCGCGGUAAUACGUAGGGUGCAAGCGUUAAUCGGAAUUACUGGGCGUAAAGCGUGCGCAGGCGGUUCGGAAAGCAAGAUGUGAAAUCCCAGAGCUCAACUUUGGAACUGCAUUUUUAACUACCGGGCUAGAGUGUGUCAGAGGGAGGUGGAGUUCCGCGUGUAGCAGUGAAAUGCGUAGAUAUGCGGAGGAACACCGAUGGCGAAGGCAGCCUCCUGGGAUAACAAUGACGCUAAUGCACGAAAGCGUGGGGAGCAAACAGG
rnacentral:rRNA from 1 species